rnacentral:rRNA from 1 species
GAUGAACGCUGGCGGCGUGCCUAAUACAUGCAAGUAGAACGCUGAAGGAAGGAGCUUGCUCUUUCCGGAUGAGUUGCGAACGGGUGAGUAACGCGUAGGUAACCUGCCUGGUAGCGGGGGAUAACUAUUGGAAACGAUAGCUAAUACCGCAUAACAGUAGAUGUUGCAUGAUAUCUACUUAAAAGGCGCAAUUGCACCACUACCAGAUGGACCUGCGUUGUAUUAGCUAGUUGGUGAGGUAACGGCUCACCAAGGCGACGAUACAUAGCCGACCUGAGAGGGUGAUCGGCCACACUGGGACUGAGACACGGCCCAGACUCCUACGGGAGGCAGCAGUAGGGAAUCUUCGGCAAUGGACGGAAGUCUGACCGAGCAACGCCGCGUGAGUGAAGAAGGUUUUCGGAUCGUAAAGCUCUGUUGUAAGAGAAGAACGAGUGUGAGAGUGGAAAGUUCACACUGUGACGGUAUCUUACCAGAAAGGGACGGCUAACUACGUG